CGAACUCUGGUAUUGAUUGGUGCUUGCAUCAUGAUUUACAUUUGAGUGAGUGGCGAACUGGUGAGUAACACGUGGGAAACCUGCCCAGAAGCGGGGGAUAACACCUGGAAACAGAUGCUAAUACCGCAUAACAACUUGGACCGCAUGGUCCGAGCUUGAAAGAUGGCUUCGGCUAUCACUUUUGGAUGGUCCCGCGGCGUAUUAGCUAGAUGGUGGGGUAACGGCUCACCAUGGCAAUGAUACGUAGCCGACCUGAGAGGGUAAUCGGCCACAUUGGGACUGAGACACGGCCCAAACUCCUACGGGAGGCAGCAGUAGGGAAUCUUCCACAAUGGACGAAAGUCUGAUGGAGCAACGCCGCGUGAGUGAAGAAGGGUUUCGGCUCGUAAAACUCUGUUGUUAAAGAAGAACAUAUCUGAGAGUAACUGUUCAGGUAUUGACGGUAUUUAACCAGAAAGCCACGGCUAACUACGUGCCAGCAGCCGCGGUAAUACGUAGGUGGCAAGCGUUGUCCGGAUUUAUUGGGCGUAAAGCGAGCGCAGGCGGUUUUUUAAGUCUGAUGUGAAAGCCUUCGGCUCAACCGAAGAAGUGCAUCGGAAACUGGGAAACUUGAGUGCAGAAGAGGACAGUGGAACUCCAUGUGUAGCGGUGAAAUGCGUAGAUAUAUGGAAGAACACCAGUGGCGAAGGCGGCUGUCUGGUCUGUAACUGACGCUGAGGCUCGAAAGUAUGGGUAGCAAACAGGAUUAGAUACCCUGGUAGUCCAUACCGUAAACGAUGAAUGCUAAGUGUUGGAGGGUUUCCGCCCUUCAGUGCUGCAGCUAACGCAUUAAGCAUUCCGCCUGGGGAGUACGGCCGCAAGGCUGAAACUCAAAGGAAUUGACGGGGGCCCGCACAAGCGGUGGAGCAUGUGGUUUAAUUCGAAGCUACGCGAAGAACCUUACCAGGUCUUGACAUACUAUGCAAAUCUAAGAGAUUAGACGUUCCCUUCGGGGACAUGGAUACAGGUGGUGCAUGGUUGUCGUCAGCUCGUGUCGUGAGAUGUUGGGUUAAGUCCCGCAACGAGCGCAACCCUUAUUAUCAGUUGCCAGCAUUAAGUUGGGCACUCUGGUGAGACUGCCGGUGACAAACCGGAGGAAGGUGGGGAUGACGUCAAAUCAUCAUGCCCCUUAUGACCUGGGCUACACACGUGCUACAAUGGAUGGUACAACGAGUUGCGAACUCGCGAGAGUAAGCUAAUCUCUUAAAGCCAUUCUCAGUUCGGAUUGUAGGCUGCAACUCGCCUACAUGAAGUCGGAAUCGCUAGUAAUCGCGGAUCAGCAUGCCGCGGUGAAUACGUUCCCGGGCCUUGUACACACCGCCCGUCACACCAUGAGAGUUUGUAACACCCAAAGUCGGUGGGGUAACCUUUUAGGAACCA
rnacentral:rRNA from 1 species